rnacentral:rRNA from 1 species
UACGAAGGGGGCUAGCGUUGUUCGGAAUCACUGGGCUUAAAGGGCGCGUAGGCGGGCGGCCAAGUCGAGGGUGAAAGCCCCAGCUCAACUGGGGAAGUGCCUCCGAUACUGGCCAUCUCGAGGGAGGUAGGGGCGUGCGGAACUUCCGGUGGAGCGGUGAAUGCGUAGAUAUCGGAAGGAACACCGGUGGCGAAAGCGGCGCGCUGGACCUCUUCUGACGCUGAGGCGCGAAAGCGUGGGGAGCAAACAGG